UACGGAGGGUGCAAGCGUUGUUCGGAAUUACUGGGCGUAAAGAGCACGUAGGCGGGUUCAUAAGCUAGCUGUGAAAGCCCUGGGCUUAACCUGGGAAUUGCAGUUAGAACUGUGAAUCUUGAAUGCUUGAGAGGUUGGGGAAAUUCCUGGUGUAGAAGUGAAAUUCGUAGAUAUCAGGAGGAACACCGGAGGCGAAGGCGCCUGACUGGCAUUGCAUUGACGCUGAGGUGCGAAAGCGCGGGUAGCAAACAGG
rnacentral:rRNA from 1 species